rnacentral:lncRNA from 1 species
UUAAAGAAGAUGUUCAGUUUUGUUUUGUAAAAUCGAAGGUACUUCCGAGUCAAAGGCAGGGCCAAAAAACUAAACUUUAUGAUGUUUGGGUUGCCCUUAACAAAGUUGACGGAUAGAUACUUACUGGAAAUCGCACAUGCAUGGCAGGUCUUGGAUGUGUAUGCAGCCAUGUAGCAGCUCUUCUAUUUAAACUAGAAGCAUGUGUUAGAAUUCAGGCAAAUAAAGUUGCAGUUACUAGCAAACUUUGUGUGUGGAACAGAACUAGAAAAAAAGCAGAACCAUCAAUGCUACAAAAUAUUAAUUUUAAGUGACCAAUGAAAAAUGAACUACCUUUUUCAACACAAAAUAUCAAAAAUCCUAAAAGAAAUUACUCAUUUUCUGAAAAUGUUGUUAAGUUUAGCAAUAAUAGUUUACAUAAACUCAGGGCGAUUGCCCCAGAAGCAGCUUUUUUUACAAGUGUAGUUGGUCUAGCACCAAUAUUGGAUCAUAGUUUUAGUGACAAUACUGCAACUGCUGAUGAAAAUGAUACAAAUUUUUUACCAGAGCCAAUUACUUCUAUGUUUGACAAUGAUGCAAACAAUCUUGACAAAUUUUUGCUUGGAGAAUUUUGCUUAUCCAAAUUUAAUGAAUACAAAAACAGUUAUUCUCAAUGCAACUUUAACUUAUUGGCAGAAGUGAGUAAAACUCAAAACCUGUCGAAUACAUGGAAAUUACAUCGAGCUGGUAGAAUUACAGCAUCCAAUUUCCAUGAAGUUGUAAAUAAAAAAUUACAAAUUUCAAAACUUUUGUUAUUCAAAAUAAUGAACUAUGUAAUUUCACCAAAUGUAGCAAGUGUUAUUUAUGGAAGAGAAAUGUAGGACAAAGCACAUUAUUUUUAUAUUAAAUUAUUAAAAAAAAAUCACAACAAUUUCAAAUUAGAAACAACUGGUAUUCAUAUCCAAGCUAGUUAUCCACAUUUAGGAGCAUUGCCAGAUGGAAUUAUUCAAUGUACAUGCCACAAUAAAGGUUUAGUCGAAAUCAAGUAUCCCUACAAAUAUCGCGAAGGUUUAAAUGGUUGGAAAGAGGAUAAAGAUUCUCCUGUAUGUGAAAGUGGUGAUUUAAAAACAAGCCAUAAGUAUUAUACCCAAAUACAAGGACAAAUAAUGAUUUUAGAAGUAGAAUUUUGUGACUUUUUUAUUUGGACACCCUUAGAAAGUGAAGAAAAUUACCUAUUAGUUAGAGUUUAUCAAGAUGAAAAAUUUAUUAAUGAGAUAAAGCAGGCAUUACACAAAUAUUAUUUUACAUACAUUUUACCAGAAACUGUAACAAGAGAAAAUGAUAUUUAUUAUAGUAACAAGCAGAAAAACUAUUGCAUUUGUAAACUACUCAUGUGUUAAUGUAACUCGUGCUCCUAAAGAAAUUUGGAUUUGUCCAAAUUGUUUAAAAUAAUAUUUUGUACUAUUUAGUUUGAAAAUAAAAAUUUAUUAUUA